AUGAACGCUAGCUACAGGCUUAACACAUGCAAGUCGAGGGGCAGCAUGGUCUUAGCUUGCUAAGACUGAUGGCGACCGGCGCACGGGUGAGUAACACGUAUCCAACCUGCCGUCUACUCUUGGACAGCCUUCUGAAAGGAAGAUUAAUACAAGAUGGCAUCAUGAGUCCGCAUGUUCACAUGAUUAAAGGUAUUCCGGUAGACGAUGGGGAUGCGUUCCAUUAGAUAGUAGGCGGGGUAACGGCCCACCUAGUCUUCGAUGGAUAGGGGUUCUGAGAGGAAGGUCCCCCACAUUGGAACUGAGACACGGUCCAAACUCCUACGGGAGGCAGCAGUGAGGAAUAUUGGUCAAUGGGCGAGAGCCUGAACCAGCCAAGUAGCGUGAAGGAUGACUGCCCUAUGGGUUGUAAACUUCUUUUAUAAAGGAAUAAAGUCGGGUAUGCAUACCCGUUUGCAUGUACUUUAUGAAUAAGGAUCGGCUAACUCCGUGCCAGCAGCCGCGGUAAUACGGAGGAUCCGAGCGUUAUCCGGAUUUAUUGGGUUUAAAGGGAGCGUAGAUGGAUGUUUAAGUCAGUUGUGAAAGUUUGCGGCUCAACCGUAAAAUUGCAGUUGAUACUGGAUAUCUUGAGUGCAGUUGAGGCAGGCGGAAUUCGUGGUGUAGCGGUGAAAUGCUUAGAUAUCACGAAGAACUCCGAUUGCGAAGGCAGCCUGCUAAGCUGCAACUGACAUUGAGGCUCGAAAGUGUGGGUAUCAAACAGGAUUAGAUACCCUGGUAGUCCACACGGUAAACGAUGAAUACUCGCUGUUUGCGAUAUACGGCAAGCGGCCAAGCGAAAGCGUUAAGUAUUCCACCUGGGGAGUACGCCGGCAACGGUGAAACUCAAAGGAAUUGACGGGGGCCCGCACAAGCGGAGGAACAUGUGGUUUAAUUCGAUGAUACGCGAGGAACCUUACCCGGGCUUAAAUUGCAGAUGAAUUACGGUGAAAGCCGUAAGCCGCAAGGCAUCUGUGAAGGUGCUGCAUGGUUGUCGUCAGCUCGUGCCGUGAGGUGUCGGCUUAAGUGCCAUAACGAGCGCAACCCUUGUUGUCAGUUACUAACAGGUUCCGCUGAGGACUCUGACAAGACUGCCAUCGUAAGAUGUGAGGAAGGUGGGGAUGACGUCAAAUCAGCACGGCCCUUACGUCCGGGGCUACACACGUGUUACAAUGGGGGGUACAGAAGGCAGCUACACGGCGACGUGAUGCUAAUCCCUAAAGCCUCUCUCAGUUCGGAUUGGAGUCUGCAACCCGACUCCAUGAAGCUGGAUUCGCUAGUAAUCGCGCAUCAGCCACGGCGCGGUGAAUCCGUUCCCGGGCCUUGUACACACCGCCCGUCAAGCCAUGAAAGCCGGGGGUACCUGAAGUGCGUAACCGCGAGGAGCGCCCUAGGGUAAAACUGGUGACUGGGGCU
rnacentral:rRNA from 1 species